AUCUGUUAUAUCUCUGCUGCAUCUGGUGUGUAGCCCCACAGAAACCUCUCUCCAACCCACAGGGCGGACAAGAAAAUCAUAUACAGGGCAGCAUUUUAUGAGGAAAAAGAAAUGAACAAAAUAAUGCAGAUAAGAAGUGCACAAGAAAUAAAAGUAGUAAUACCUUAUCUGUCUACAAUGGGGGACACAGAUAAGUACCAGGGAAAGCAGGCCGACGCAUUUCAUCUUUCAGUUGGAGAGACGCGGCUCCAGUGUGGUGUAUGGGACCAGGCAGUCAUGUGACCAUCACUUCUAGGUCAUACCACCGAUGCGUCAGUGUUCCGAUUCUGUCUCUCACAGUUGACGUGUACCUAUGAUGGAAAUUACAGACCUCUCUAAUUUUUUUAAGUGGGUCAACUUGCACAAUCGGUGGCUGCCCAAAUACUUUUUUGCCCCACUGUAUAUGAAACAUAAAUUGUGUGAAUAAAGUUAUUAAAAAUA